rnacentral:rRNA from 1 species
UACGUAGGGUGCAAGCGUUGUCCGGAAUUAUUGGGCGUAAAGAGCUCGUAGGCGGUCUGUCGCGUCGGCUGUGAAAACCCGAGGCUCAACCUCGGGCCUGCAGUCGAUACGGGCAAACUAGAGUACUGCAGGGGAGACUGGAAUUCCUGGUGUAGCGGUGAAAUGCGCAGAUAUCAGGAGGAACACCGGUGGCGAAGGCGGGUCUCUGGGCAGUAACUGACGCUGGAG